ACUCCUACGGGAGGCAGCAGUGGGGAAUAUUGGACAAUGGGCGCAAGCCUGAUCCAGCAAUGCCGCGUGUGUGAAGAAGGCCUGCGGGUUGUAAAGCACUUUCAGUAGAGAAGAAAAGCUUAAGGUUAAUACCCUUGAGUCUUGACGUAACCUACAGAAGAAGCACCGGCUAACUCCGUGCCAGCAGCCGCGGUAAU
rnacentral:rRNA from 1 species